rnacentral:rRNA from 1 species
UGGGAGGAAAGCAGGGGAUCGUAAGACCUUGCGCUUUUGGAGCGGCCGAUGUCUGAUUAGCUAGUUGGUGGGGUAAUGGCCUACCAAAGCUUCGAUCAGUAGCUGGUCUGAGAGGACGGCCAGCCACACUGGGACUGAGACACGGCCCAGACUCCUACGGGAGGCAGCAGUGGGGAAUUUUGGACAAUGGGCGCAAGCCUGAUCCAGCCAUGCCGCGUGAGUGAAGAAGGCCUUCGGGUUGUAAAGCUCUUUCAGCCGGGAAGAAAAGGCUGCGACUAAUAAUCGCAGUUCAUGACGGUACCGGAAGAAGAAGCACCGGCUAACUACGUGCCAGCAGCCGCGGUAAUACGUAGGGUGCGAGCGUUAAUCGGAAUUACUGGGCGUAAAGGGUGCGCAGGCGGUUUUGUAAGUCAGAUGUGA